GCCAGCCUCAGCCUCCCAAAGUGCUGAGAUUACAGGCAUGAGCCACUGUGCCUGGCCCCAGAAAGCAAUUCUUGAUUCCCUUACAGGAAAAGAAAGAAUGCCACAAUCCCACCGACUCAAAAGCAACUAGAAGCCAGGCACAGUGGCUCACUCCAAUAAUCCCAACACUUUGGGAGGUCGAGGUGGGAGGACUGCUUGAGGCCAGGAGUUCAAGGACAGCUUGGACAACAUAGAUAACUGCAGUCUCAGAGAAGACCCCCAGAAACCCAAAAUGCUUCCAGCCACAGAGGAGGAGAGCAGCUGGCAGCCAGAAGCAUCCAUUCCAAGUGAGAGACAUCGAAGGGAACAAGGCUUAACCGCCUUGUCUUUGAACAGCACUAAAUGAUUCAGCAAAAGGGAUGAGAGGAAACCUUUGGCCAUGUCACGGGUUCACAGCCAUCUGUAUAUGUUCCUAUAGUCCUGCUUUGUACCUCCAGCCUAAAUGAUGGGGAGGUCGUUUGAAGAUGAGACUGACCCUUCACUACAUGUGCUGCUUCCAACCCCAGAUUCCAUCAGGCUGCACUUCUGAGAUUCAGUGAACUCCCACUCAUCCUUCAAAACCCUAUCUCAAUGUCGCUGCCAUAGCAAAGCCUUCCCUGGCCCCCUCGGGUAGGGAGGGUCUCUCUGCCCACUGGCAGGCCAAGAAGGCCAAGCUCUGCCCUCUGAGAAUCCAUCAGUGUCCCAAGCUGACUUUCCCUAGCCUCGUAUCCCUUCAUUCCAUGAAAGGGGAACUUAGGGUGGAGUGGAAAUUUUGAUCAUCUAAAGGAACAAUAAUUGCUUUCAUUCAUUCAUUUAAACAAUAUGUAUUGAGCACCUACCAAGGACCAGGCCUUGUGCUAAGUGCCCCCACAGAGGUCACAAUAGUCAUAUACUACAAACAAAUACAGCAUCACAAAGGUUGGCGCAUGAAGAGACAGCAGCUAAGGGCAUGGUCCUGGAGCCAGAAUGCCUGGAUUUGAAUCACAGCUCUACUACUUCCCAGCAGCUUGUUGAGCUUAGCCAAGUCUCUAAGCCCCUCUGAGCCUCAGCUUUAUCACCUGUAAAAUAGGGAUAAAAGCAGCAUCUGCCCUAUUCAUCUGUUCACAGGAAUACAUGGCCUAUGGAGGGAAAGUACCCAGGCUCCUGAGUGGGCCCUCCUGGCCCACGGCAGAAGCCGUGUGCAUGUCUGUUCAACAGAUACCUUUGGUGGCCUGUAUGUACCAGGCGCUUCUAUUCUCUGCUGGUCAAGGAAGGCUCACGGUGGAAUAGGAUUUAGCCCCGGGAGAGACAGCAGGGGCAUUCUAAAGACAUCGACUAGCUGGCAUCCUGUGCCAGGCAUCCCAACCUUUUGCGCAUCGCGGCUCACCUGGAAAAGACGUGGGGGUGAGGAAGGAGGUGCCACCUGCAUGAGGCAUGGCAGAAAAGCAUGACAUCACCUUUAUAGUGCAAAGCUUGACAGGAAGAAUAAGAUACAAAGUACUUAAAGAAGAUAAUCGAUAUUGGAUGUGUAUUAAAUUUCCAAGGAAAAUAUUUUUAAAUAUGUAAAUUAAUCUUGAGUUGGCUUCUACAAGCAUAACUUUUUUUUUUCUUUUUUUUUAUUUUGAUACAGAGUCUCGUUCUAUCACCCAGGCUGGAGUGCAGUGGUGUGAUCUCGGCUUACUGCAACCUCCGCCUCCCGGGUUCAAGUGAUUCUCGUGCCUCAGCCUUUUGAAUAACUGGGAUUAAAGGCGCACAACACCAUGCCUGGAUAACCUUUGUAUUUUUAGUAGAGGCGGAGUUUCACCAUAUUGGCCAGGCUGGUCUCAAACUUCCAACCUAACCGGGACCCACCCUGAUCUGCCUGCCUUGGCCUCCCAAAGUGCUGGGAUUACAGGUGUGAGCCACCGCAACCAGCCUUACAAGCAUAAAUUUUUUUAUACCAAUGUACCAGGUUUCAUGCUUGAGCUGACUAAGCACAGUCCGGGAUCAGGAAUGUUUUUCAGGGGUCAGUCCUUUGGGUUCCUGACAGUCACCACUGAUGAGAAGCGGCCGGGCAGGCAGUAGUGGAUGAGGACCACCUGUGGCACUACAGAGAGCCCUCUGGUGGCAGGUGGGAUGUCGACUGGGCACAGCUGCUGUGACUGAAUCUGAAAGGUGACAGUGGUGCCAAAGUUACCUUCCAAUAAAAUUUCAACUGUUGCACGUUUUUGAAUGGUUGUGAAAAAAUGAUUUUGUAACUAUAAAAAUGUAUAACUACAAAGAAUCUGUAAGCUUCAAUGGCUGGCAGGUUAGGGUUGGAAACCUGGGAGUUUGAGGGCUCCAGGGCCUGG
rnacentral:lncRNA from 1 species